rnacentral:rRNA from 1 species
UACGUAGGUGGCAAGCGUUGUCCGGAUUUACUGGGCGUAAAGAGCGCGCAGGCGGUCGUUCAAGUCGCGUGUGAAAGCCCCGGCUCAACUGGGGAGGGUCACGCGAUACUGAUCGACUCGAAGGCAGGAGAGGGUAGUGGAAUUCCCGGUGUAGUGGUGAAAUGCGUAGAUAGUCGGAGAACACCAGUGGCGAAGGCGACUACCUGGCCUGUUCUUGACGCUGAGGCGCGAAAGCUAGGGGAGCAAAGCGGG